rnacentral:snRNA from 1 species
GCUUAUUUUUUUUCGCGAAACUUU